AUCAACCUUAAUAAAAUCAAAAUAAUACUGAAACUGAGAAUGACAUGUUAAUAUAAAGGAUAUACAGUGCUCUGCUAGGAUUCUAAUUAUAUAUGAGUAGCAGUCGCUUAAUUACUCCUGCAGCAGUGCUGGGUCAGCUGGCGACCUGGCUGUAGUCAAGUUCCUUUUGUUCCACGCUGAUUGCUUAAAAGCUGAGGUACUUGUUGGCCAGAAGUGUAUUCGGACUUAUGUGUCUGCUGGUAUCAGUCUCUGAUAUAAAAUGAGGCCUGUGUCCCGUGUCCGUUAUUCCUCCAUGUUUAAGCAGGGUCAG